CAGGGUGCAGACCUCCCCAGGGCUGCAGCCGAGGGGCUCACAUAGCAGGACCCCCGUGCGCGCGCAGGUGCAGCGCUGGGAGCAGUCGUCGUUCACGAAGCUGUCCCCCUGCUGGAGAGGGAAAAGGCCCGGGAAGCAGGGGCGCCUGCUUGACCUCCAGGGCUGGGCUGUCCUUUCGCGCCUGCGCUCCCCCGGGGCCUCCCACUUCCAGCCCUGACCUGGUAGUAGAUGCCGUUCUCGGUGCAGCCGCAGUGGGCCAGGGGGAGGCUCUGGGCUCCGCUGUAGACGUAGCCCGGGAGGCUGGCACAGCCCUCCACACAGGGGCCCUUGCAGCCCCGGGGGGCUGCCAGCGUGGCACAGGAGGCCGGGCAGGGUGUCAUACAGCUCUGGUAGACAGUAUUGGCUGGACAUGACAAGGCUGAGAGGACACAGUCAUAGUCAGAGGUGGCUGAGCAGGGGUAGGUCCCCCCAGGGAUGGAGAAGAAGGUCACCCAACAGAGCACAGAGCUUGCUAGAGGCAGGGAGGACCGGCUCCGUGAGUCUUUUUGUCUGUGGCACUAACUCAUGAGGAGGAUCAAAGCUGGCCGGGGUGGUGCCCGCCUCCUGGCAGAUGCUGGCAUACCCGCUGAGGACCUGGCAACGCAGCCCCUCCUGCUCCUUGGGGUCGCGGGCGGCACACAGGUCAGACACACAGUGCCUGGGGGACAGCAGGGACAGGUGGGGGGCUGUCAGACACGGGGAGGGAGGCCAGGAGACCCAGCCCUGCAGAAGAGGCCCUGGAAGCCCCAUCAGAGAGUGGGCCGGUGCGCCGUGGGGAUGUGUGUGCGUGUGUGUGACAAGGUACUACGGACAGAAUUGUGCCCAACAGAGAGCCAGAGAACAAGCCACAGGAGCUGGAUAAAGGGUCUCGGGUCCCCGACUCACUCCAGGAAGGGCUCGGGGGCCACAGUCUGGUGACAGACAGCAAAGGGGCCCUCGGGGUCCGCCAGCACCCCACACGCCUGGGUGUGGUUGAUGAGCUGCAGCUCCUCCAGGUGGCAUCCCGACACACCAAGAAAGCCUAGCGCCGCUUCCUCUUUCACUUCCUCCUCCUGUACAGCCCUGGGCAGAGACAGUGAAGAUCCAGGUGAGGCCCACAGGGCUGCGAUUGAAGGAACCAGGGAGGGGAGGGCCCGGGCACAGGCUGAGAUCCACAGGACGGGUGUCUCGCAGUUGGCGGGAGAGGAAAGAUGUGACAGGAUGAGAAGAAUCAGGCCCAUCUGAGCCCUCGGUCUCAGGGCUCCUCCUCUGCUGAGCAAGUGCAGUUGCCGCACAGGCCGAGCACAAGCUUCCGGAACACUCCCUUUGGCCCACUGGUUCCCACAGUCUGGCACCUGCAUUGUUCUUUCCAUUGAAGCUGACCACCAGCUCAAAGUCCGUGAUCACGAACAGGCGAUCGCUUCGUAGGGAGACCCGCAGCUGGUCGACGGGCUCAUAGGGGGCAGUCACCUUCUGACCAUUGACCUGGAGGAGGCAGAUGGGAGCCACAGGAAAGCCUGAAUCAAGGCAGGUUCUUUACCACAAGCGCCACGUGGGUUCAAUUCCUGGUCUGGGAAGAUCUCACAUACCGUGGAGCAACUGAGCCCGUGCGCCGCAACUACUGAGCCUGAGCUCUAGAGCCCGGGAGCCGCAACUACCGCGUUCAUGAGUGGCAGCUCCUGAAGCCCGAGCACCUGGAGCCUGUGCUCUGCAACAAGAGAAGCCACUGCAAUGAGACGCCUGAGCACCGCAACGAAGAGUAGCCCCGCUCACCACAACUAGACGAAGCCCGUGUGCAGCAACGAGGGCCCAGUGUGGCCAAAACUAAAUGAAUAAAUAAAAUUAUAUUUAAAAAGGUGACUCUCUGCUGCUUUGGCCUCCGCUUCCCUGCACAUCUCCGGACCUUGUGGUUCCAUCAUUCUCUGCAACAGGAUACUCCAGGAAGCUUUACUAUCCCAAAUGCCAAAAGCAUCUCUGAGGUCUGCUCCUAUUGCAGCCCCUUUCUUUGCAAAAAAAAGAAAACAACUGGCAGGAGGGCAUCCCUGGUGCUUCUUCAGACUGCCUGUUGGAUCUUCCCUUCUCCCCACUGCCCCACCUCUCCCCCACCUUACCUGAAAUCCUCCUGCCCACCUUGGGCUCCCAAGGAGGUAAGUGCAGCACCGAUUCUGAUUUCUACAGCUAG